rnacentral:rRNA from 1 species
UGGGAUAACUCCCGGAAACGGGUGCUAAUACCGAAUAUUGACUUCUGGCCGCAUGGUUGGGGGUUGAAAGUUUUUCGGCUGAGGAUGGGCCCGCGGCCUAUCAGCUUGUUGGUGGGGUAAUGGCCUACCAAGGCGACGACGGGUAGCCGGCCUGAGAGGGCGACCGGCCACACUGGAACUGAGACACGGUCCAGACUCCUACGGGAGGCAGCAGUGGGGAAUAUUGCGCAAUGGGCGAAAGCCUGACGCAGCGACGCCGCGUGAGGGAUGACGGCCUUCGGGUUGUAAACCUCUUUCAGCAGGGACGAAGAGUGAUUGACGGUACCUGCAGAAGAAGCACCGGCCAACUACGUGCCAGCAGCCGCGGUAAUACGUAGGGUGCAAGCGUUGUCCGGAAUUAUUGGGCGUAAAGAGCUCGUAGGCGGUCUGUCGCGUCGAAUGUGAAAAUCCGGGGCUCAACUCCGGACCUGCAUUCGAUACGGGCAGACUAGAGUUCGGUAGGGGAGACUGGAAUUCCUGGUGUAGCGGUGAAAUGCGCAGAUAUCAGGAGGAACACCGGUGGCGAAGGCGGGUCUCUGGGCCGAUACUGACGCUGAGGAGCGAAAGCGUGGGGAGCGAACAGGAUUAGAUACCCUGGUAGUCCACGCCGUAAACGGUGGGCGCUAGGUGUGGGGGUCCUUCCACGACCUCUGUGCCGCAGCUAACGCAUUAAGCGCCCCGCCUGGGGAGUACGGCCGCAAGGCUAAAACUC